AGACAGGCUGAGCUCCUUGCUGGGAGGCCUUUAAAACAAGAACAGGUUUCAUUGAUCUGAGACUAGGUAAGGAUGCUGCCACGAGUCAGGAAGGAGUCGAAGUCAUCUGUCCUGGUACCUGGAAGUGCCUGAACAUGAUGGGCCUGGGUGGUUAUUAUUCUUCUCAUCAGCUGGCACUGUAACUUUAGCUCAGCGUGUGGCUACCUGGACCAAUUCUGUCUGAUGGGGUGUGCAGUAGUGUCAUGAACUACUUCUAUCCCAGGAAGUAACUUGUAAAUGAGUGGAUGAGCCAAUUCUCCUUCUUUCUCUUCCUGCUGGCUGAAGUGUGGACAUGAUGGCAGGAGCUGCAGCAGUCACAUUGGACCAUGGGUCAUCGUGGGAAUGGAAGUCACACAAGGGUAUUUAAAGCCACACAAGGAUAAUGAGCACUGGAUAGAUGGAGCCCGAGUCCCCAUCACAGUGUAGCCCCUGUAACAGAUCUAGACUUCCUGCCUCCCACAUUGAGUAAACUGCUCUCUUGCUUAAGCCACUAUUAUGUUAGGAUUUUUUCAACCCAUAGUCAGAGAUAGUCCUAACUGAUUCACCACCCUCAGAGAGUUUACAGCCAAUUAUGUUUCUCAUGAAAAAGGUUAGCCAGUGGUUGUAAGUGAUCCCGGACUGGAGCGCCAGCUGCACUAAGGCAGUUCGUCUGUGGGAUGGCUCUGUCCUUGUCAGGGAGAGGACCCCUCCUACACACUGGCAUGUUACCACAAGUACAGUGGUAACUAAGCAGGUCGGCAUAGGUGCCCACAGAGCAGACUGAACACCCCGUUUGCUUCCCUCUCCUCUCCGAACUCCCUGGACAUGGCCAAGUAGCAUAAGCCAAGCAGAGGUGAGAAGGAGAGUGGGGCACAGGCAAGUUACCAGUGGGCCCGCGGCUAUCAUGGACUUCCAGAAAAUAAAAAACAGGCAUGAUGGUGUUGGUUUAUAAACCAAAGCAGAGGGCACUGGAGCCCCGUAAGUGUGCAGGAGUGAAUGUAUGUGGCAGGGAGAAGGGUAGAAGGGAGGAGGUUGGGUAGAAGGCUACCUCUACCAGCUGGAAAUGAGUGGUGAAGUCAGCUGGACUUCUGGGUGGGGCGGGGACUUGGAGAACUUUUCUGUCUUACAAAGGGAUUGUAAAAUGCACAAAUCAGCACUCUGUAGAUAGGAUUGUAAAACGCACCAAUCAGCUCUCUGUGGCUAGCUAGAGGUUUCUAAAAUGGACCAAUCAGUGCUUUGUAAAGUGGACCAAUCAGAACACUGUAAAAUGGACCAAUUAGUGCUCUGUAAAAUGGACCAAUCAGACCAAUCAGCACUCUGUAAAAUGGACCAAUCAGCAGGACAUGGGUGGGGACAAAUAAGGGAAUAAAAGCUGGCCACCCUCCAGUCAGCAGCAGGCAACCCACUGGGUCCCCAUCCCUGUUGUGGUGUAUUUGUUAUUUUGCUCUUGGCAAUAAAUCUUGCUGCUGCUCACUCUUUGGGUCCGUGCCACCUUUAAGAGCUGUAACACUCACUGUGAAGGUCCAGGACUUCAUUCUUGCGGUCAGCGAGACCACGAACCCACUGGAAAGAACCAACUCCCGACACGGAAAGGCUGCAAGGUUAGGGUCCACAGUUUGGGAAGAGUGGAGCCUAGGGUCUUCACUCAGGGGUAUGGAUGGAGAGAACAGUGGGGGGAGCUCUUUGCUCUAAUCCCAGGCUCCACCCUGCCUCAAAGAGGCUACGAGUACUGUUUUGUAGUAGGAUAAAACCAAUGAUAUGCUUAUGCUGUAGAUGGAACCAUGUGCCCCUGAAACUCAUAUGUUGAGUUUCACCCCACUGUGAUGGUAUUAGGAGGAGGAAACUUUGGGAGGUGACUAGGUCAUGCGAGCAGAGCUCUCAUGAAUGAGGUUAGUGCCUUAGAAAACAAGAGCCUGCGUAGUGGUGUGCGCCUGUAAUUCCAGCUACUCUGGAGGCUGAGGCAGGAGAAUUGCAUGAAGCCGGGAGGCAGCGAUUGCAGUGAGCCGAGAUCGCACCACUGCACUCCAGUCUGGCCAACAAAACGAGACUCCGUCUCAAAAAAACAGAAGGAAAAAAAAAGAAAAGAGCUUGGAGAACCCCCUCUCCUCUUCUGCCAGGUGAGGCCACAGCAAGAAGACUGCGGUCUACGAACCAGGAAGAGGCCUUCACCAGUCACCAAAUAUGCUGGCGCCUUAAUUUUAGACUUUCCAGUUUCUGGAACUGUGAGAAAUGAAUUUCUG
rnacentral:lncRNA from 10 species